rnacentral:rRNA from 1 species
ACUUGUGGCCAUACCACACUGAACGCGCCUUUUAAGGGUCGUGCCUGGUUAGUACUGGGACGGGAGACCGCUUGGGAAAACUAGGUGCCAUAAGCU